rnacentral:rRNA from 1 species
AUUGAACGCUGGCGGCAGGCCUAACACAUGCAAGUCGAACGAGUGGCGGACGGGUGAGUAAUGCUUGGGAAUCUAGCUUCUGGAGGGGGAUAUCUAAGGGAAACUGUAGCUAAUACCGCGUACCAUAGGCUGAGCCCACGUGGGGUUAGGUAGUUGGUGAGGUAAAGGCGUACCAAGACGACGAUCUCUAGCUGGUCUGAGAGGAUGACCAGCCACACUGGGACUAGGACACGGCCCAGACUCCUACGGAAGGCAGCAGUGGGAAAUAUUGCGCAAUGGGGGCAACCUGACGCAGCCAUGCCGCGUGGGUGAAGAAGGCCUUCGGGUUGUAAAGUUCUUUCGGUAGCGAGGCGUUAACUACAGAAGAAGCACCGGCUAACUCCGUGCCAGCCGCCGCGGUAAUUC